ensembl:snoRNA SNORD30 Small nucleolar RNA SNORD30
GCAAAUGAUGAGAUAUAUUUGGAAUCUCGUUCGUCUGAACUACUGUUGAGAAACGGAAUAUCUGACAUCA